rnacentral:rRNA from 1 species
UUCCUACGGGGCGCAGCAGUGGGGAAUAUUGCACAAUGGGGGAAACCCUGAUGCAGCAACGCCGCGUGAGUGAAGAAGUAUUUCGGUAUGUAAAGCUCUAUCAGCAGGGAAGAAGAUGACGGUACCUGAUUAAGAAGCCCCGGCUAACUACGUGCCAGCAGCCGCGGUAAUACGUAGGGGGCAAGCGUGAUCCGGAUUUACUGGGUGUAAAGGGAGCGUAGACGGCAGUGCAAGUCUGAAGUGAAAGGCAAGGGCUCAACCUUUGGACUGCUUUGGAAACUGUGCUGCUAGAGUGUCGGAGAGGG